rnacentral:rRNA from 1 species
GAUGAACGCUAGCGGCAGGCCUAAUACAUGCAAGUCGAACGGAUAUAUGUUUUUCGGAAUAUAUAUUAGUGGCGCACGGGUGAGUAACACGUACAUAACUUGCCCUCAAGCGGGGGAUAGCCUUGGGAAACUGAGAGUAAUACCCCAUAGAAUUAUUGGACGGCAUCGUUUGAUAAUUAAAACUACGGUGUUUGGGGAUAGAUGUGCGUCUGAUUAGCUAGUUGGUGAGGUAACUGCUCACCAAGGCGACGAUCAGUAGGGGGCGUGAGAGCGUGGCCCCCCACACGGGUACUGAGACACGGACCCGACUCCUACGGGAGGCAGCAGUAAGGAAUAUUGGUCAAUGGAGGGAACUCUGAACCAGCCAUGCCGCGUGAAGGAUGACGGCCCUCUGGGUUGUAAACUUCUUUUGGAUGGGGCGAAAAAACGGGAUUUAUCCUGGACUGACGGUACCAUCAGAAUAAGCACCGGCUAACUCCGUGCCAGCAGCCGCGGUAAUGU